rnacentral:rRNA from 1 species
UACGUAGGGAGCAAGCGUUAUCCGGAAUCACUGGGCGUAAAGAGCUCGUAGGCGGUUAGAUAAGUCGCAUGUUAAAUACCCAGGCUCAACCAGGGGAAUGCGUGCGAUACUGUUUAGCUAGAGGACGGGAGAGGUAAGUGGAAUUCCUGGUGUAGCGGUGAAAUGCAUAGAUAUCAGGAAGAACACCAGUGGCGAAGGCGGCUUACUAGACCGUUCCUAACGCUGAGGAGCGAAAGCCAGGGGAGCAAACGGG